GCGCAGAGCACUUCUAAUCAGAGUAGUGGCACCAACGAAGAAGAGGAAGCGGCGGGUUCUCGGGGCUCGUGCGCCAGGUGAACCGCGAGGCCGCAGUGACGUGUUCCCGUCCCGCUGCCACUUCCCCGGACGUUUCCCGCCGACGUGGGGUGGGGGCCGGCCCCCGGGAGGAACCCAGCUCACGUCAGUUGCGAUCGGGAUGAACGGGCGGAUCCAGGAAUCUUUUCUUCAGCAUGGCGAGAUGGGACCGUGGCAGUCGAGCCAGUGCCACUCCAGAGUCGAAAAGAGACUGCUUAUGUUUUCUUCUUCAACUUACUCUAAAAAAUAUAAAAAAUAGUAAUAAUCGCACCGCUAUUAAAAGACUGGUAACAUCAACAAAGUUAUACUUUUACUACGAAAUUAUUUUCUUUAAAAUCACGGCCAUAGUUUCCCCGUCUCUGCCGAGUCUCAGCCGGGAUGACUCUGAGCAUAUUGAUCAUCUGAGGGAAGGCACCAACGCCCCCUGGCCAAUAAAUGAUGGAUACACCUCUGAUAUAGUUGUUCUGACCCCUGUAGCUGAGGCCAAAGGUCAGUCAGUGUUCUCAAAUCUGGACACUAGGCGACACGAGAGACCCCGAAGGUCGAAGGUAUCCAGAGGUGGCUCUUCUUCUCUACAUUUCUGUCUUUUACUCCGACAAAGGCAGAUUUGACUCGACAGAUGGGGUUUCCCCUCUGUCGCUGCAGUUCCUCUGCUUCCCUUUCAAGAAACUCGCUGUUCAGUUGAGUCCAGGAAUCUCCACAGGGAACAGGAAAUGACAUUAAAGGUAGUAAGUAUUCCACUUUGUAUGCUCAUAGCUUGCGUGUGGUGCCUCUGCAGCGCUCCGCAGCUAUGUUACAUUCAGUAAACAAAAGAACAAACAGGCUUAACCCAACGAGGAAAACCUCGCUUGUUAUAUUUUUUGCUUUUCGUUUCCUGCUAUGGUACCGUUUCCUGCCGCCUGUCGCGGUCGGCCGCUGCUGGCGAUUGUUCACUCGCUUCGCUCUCUGCAGUGUCAACGACGACUGUUCCCGUGUUGGCGGCGAGCGGAUGAAAGACUUCCGACGUGGCUCGCGUUACGCUGUCGUAAGACGGAGGAGAUGAGGUGGAGGAAAUUGUCUCGGACUGCUCCAUCUCUACCAAACUUGAGCCAUAGUUUUCCUUCAUCAUGGCAGCGAUCAGCCCUUCUUUCUCAGGUGCGUCCUCCCCGAACAUUCCCUCACCACCUUCCUCAGAGACACCUCCUGCAUGACGAGGUGUGGUGAUCUGACGAUACAAGUAGGAGGCGGCCUUCAUCUGCCGCCUCACCAAGUGUCUGCGAUAGCACCUCUGGAUCACUGUGGCGGAGACUUCUUCCUGUUUGCGCCUCAGAGUUGUUGUGAUUGGCUCGUAGGAGAUCUUGGAUGGGUUGGCCAUCAUGAACUUCUCCUCCAUCUGCUGCUUGAGGGCGUCCAUCUCUCCCGACUCGCCCAGGACUCGCUUGGUGAAGGCAAAAAGGAUGUCGAGGCAGUGGAUCUUGUCCCCACUGACCAUGGGUAGGUCCAUGGUGAUCAGCUUGAUCUUGUUAGGCUUGGCGAUGCGCAGUGGCUCUGACAGCGAGUCUGCGAAGUCGGACAAUUUGGCGUACUCGAUGAACUGUGUCGCCUCCGGGUCAAACUUCUCCCAAACCUCGUAGAACAUCUCAAAGUCGUCCUCGCUGAGCGGCUCCGUGCUCUCCUCUGUGGCCACGCUGAAGUUCUCCAGGAUGAUGGCGAUGUACAUGUUCACCACGAUGAGGAAGGAGAUGAUGAUGUAAGUGACGAAGAAGGUGAUGCCCACCGACGGGUUCCCACAGUUCCCCCUGACCGUGGUGCCAGUGUGGGGGAUGUUGGGAUUGCACUCCUCAGGGGAAUUGUUGAGGAUGGGGCUGAGUAGGCCGUCCCACCCGGCUGAGGUGGUGAUCUGGAACAAGCAGAUCAUGCUGUUCCCAAACGUCUCAAAGUUAAACAUGUCAUCGAUCCCCGCCUGCCGUUUCACAUAGGCGAAGUUGGCCAUGCCGAAGAUGGCGUAGAUGAACAUGACCAGGAAUAAGAGGAGGCCGAUGUUGAAGAGAGCAGGAAGGGACAUCAUGAGGGCGAACAGUAAUGUCCGGAUGCCCUUGGCACCUCUGAUGAGACGCAGAAUACGUCCAAUACGGGCCAAUCGGAUCACUCGGAAGAGGGUUGGUGACACAAAGUACUUCUCGAUGAUGUCAGCAAGCACGAUACCUGGAAAGACAGACGAAAAGAAAAAGAUGCAGGUCACGUACAACUACCUGAGUAUCAAUUGGAGACGUGAAGUUGAUUUGAAUGGUCGUCCUGCAGGACCACGUCCAUCUGCAGAGAGAUCAACUACUGGAGAAACUCUUUGCCUGUUGGGUUCCAUCGCCUGCCCCUCCAUUAGAUCUCCCUUUCUAUUUCAGGACCUUUCUCUGAGUCACCUCAUGUAAAAGCUUCUCACUCUGGAUAUUGCUGUCUUUAUGUGGCAGGUCUGCUGUGAUUACUCCGUGAGUAAUUGGAUUUGGAGGACCGAGGCGUCUGUGUCUCUCUCACAGCAAGUCAAACACUCUUUUCCUUGUUCUACGGGAUGAUGGACUGAACGAGGAGCUGGCCUGUCGCCCCCCCCCCCUUCAUCUGUCCUCCUGGGUUGAGUUAUUGCUGAUUGAAGGGAUGAGCGGGGGGAGUAGAGAGGGAGUCACCAUCACAUCAAACAUUAACCCAUGUUGGUCUGUCUCUAGUUGUGAGGACACUCCUGUAUUACCUGCCCCCUCAACACAUCCCCCAACAUUACCUAACCCUUAAAAGAAACCUCAAGAAGCCCCGUGAAGUUGUGGGGAUACUCCAAAAUGAAACGCACACACAAACAACACACACACAUAUACACACAUAUACACACAUAUACACCAGCUGAUGUAACAGGUCAAUCAUGUUUGAUUUGUCUGUAGGGACCGCCCUCUGGCAGCUCUGAUUGCUGCUGUUACCUUCACCUCCCCGGCAGGCUUGACACACACACACACACACACACACACACACUCACACUCUUGUCACGCUAACAGGAGCAGACAAAAUAUGAGCACUGAUCACUAAAUUACCUGUUUAGGCUGCACUGCAGACGGUCUGUGUGUGUGAAAUAUAUGUGUGUGUGUGUGUGUGUGUGUGUGUGGUCCUGUAUAUGACCAUAUAGGACCUUGGUGCAGGUUAAACAUCAAGGCCACACCGAUGGCCACUGUGUUGACAGAUAACUGUCACGUCAGACACACACACACACACACACACACACACACACACACACACACACACACACCAACUGAUAGUCACUGUACUUGUAUUUAACUUUGAUUUAAAUGUAUUCUUAUCUGCUGAUGUACAGUAUGAUAUUAGUCAGACUCUUGUCCUGUUGAGUUAUUCAGCUAAUAAAUGAAUUGUUGUUUGAAGAAACCUUCUUAAAAAAGGAUCCGGCCGAACGUCCCACGAACGUGGUCGAACUCACCGACGACGGAGAGAAUGACGACCACGAAGUCGAAGAUGUUCCAGCCCACGGUGAAGAAGUAGCAUCGCAGCGCCACGAUCUUGACGAGGCACUCGGCGGUGAAGACGAUGAUGAAGGCCAGGUUGAUGUUGUUCAGGAUGUACUCCAUCUGCGGCGACUGCUCGUCCGUCUCCACCAUCAUGGUGAUCAUGUUGAAGAGGAUCAGCACCAUGAUGAUGAUGUCGAACGCCUGCUUCCCGGCCAGGUCGAAGAAGAAGCCAUGCAGCGGGUUCUGGAACCACACCACAGGUUUCAUCAUCAUUCAUUCAACUUAUGUUUUGUUUCUUUUAUUCUAUAAAUAUUCUUUUUAAUCCAUCUCAACUGCAAAGAAAAAACAGGCCUUUAUUUUGAAAUGUGCUCAUAUUAGAGGUAGUAUUUGAUCAUAUUUUUAGUCUGUUAAAAUGAAUAAUGUCAUUUUAUUGUCUAUUGUCUUCAGAAGAGCCAUGCUGCCGUUUUCACUCACUAAUCAAUUCCAAGUUCUUCUUCUUUAGAUCACAGUUAAGCUGACUGUCAUUUGAACUGAACACUUCCUGCUCAGCUGUUUCAGAUUAAAAAUGCUUCUAUGAUACGUUUCCAUCAACCUCUCAAUCACGUUGUACGCUCUCCUUCUUCCUCGUCGUGUUCCAUGAACUUGGCGACCAGCGGAACAGGAACAUUAGCGACAACUGCUGCUCUGAGUUUUCACAUUGUCCUCCGACAGUGGCCGAUAUCAAAAUGUGGCGGAAAAGCAAAAGAACAGCUGUAGAUGUUGGUGACUUCUUUAUUGUAGCGCUGUCGUUUUUUGAAACGGUGGAAAGACGAUGUCGUUUGAUGCGAGUGAGCGACUCGACGCAACCGAAUGAACCGCAGCAUUUAAAAGCUUCAUAAGUGUAAAAUCAUCGUCCUCCAUCUUUUGGAUUCCUGGAGACGCUGCAACACGCGCGGACCAAUGAACGAGCUCGUUCUUAUCUGGUUGUUGGUGCCGCGUUCUCGCUCGGAGACAAACCUCGUUUUCGGUUUGCAACAUCUUCUUCUUCUACUGUUCUGUUACAGGCGCGUCACGGUCGGCCCACGUAGCCCACUGACCCAUGGACUGACCCAGACUGCUCUGGUGCGUUCGCUCCAAACCACUUGAUGGAAACCGUGUAACUCACAUUCCUUUUUAUCAAACUUUCCAAAAUGAGAUUCAUGAGAUUCAUGAGAUCAAUGAGAUCAAUGAGAUUAGAUGUGUGUGGUACCAGGGGCCGGGGGAUGGGCUUCUGAGGCUUCUUGGAGCCCAGUUUCUUCAUGGCGUUGUAGUAUUUCUUCUGCUCCUCCGUCAUGAAGAUGUCCUGUCCUCCUAAGUGAACACACAAACACUUCUCUGUUAUUUUCAUUGCACUGAAAAUCCUGACGACUACAAGUCCCAUCAUGCAACACUCCAACCAACUUCUUCUGGUCUUCUGUCAUUGAUUUCAUUGACUGCGUCUGGAAUUCGCCAGCUCUUGACAAUAACUCUGUAUCGGCUGUGGUACUCAUCUUGCGCUUCUGCUGGUUGAAGUUAUCGAUGAUGACACCGAUGAAGAGGUUGAGCGUGAAGAAGGAGCCGAAAAUGAUGAAGAUGACAAAGUACAGUGUUAACGUCGAGUGGAACCUGGUUUCAUCCGGUGGUGGAACCUGAUCCAAAGUGUCGCCUCUCACUUACGGCUCUGGAGUCCACCGCUGCGUACAUGAUCUCCAUCCAGCCUUUGAAUGUCGCCUUGGAAAGAAAAACAGAAAAAUAUGAAUACACUACUUCAAAUAUAUCUAUUUGAUCAUUUAUGAAAUAAAACUGCCCCCAACAGCUCGAGUGAACGCUGGCUCUGUUUUCUUCUCCAUGUUUUUGCAGACGUCUCUCGAACUCAUAAGUGAGGAGUCAACACUGAGCCUGGCUUGAGGGGUGUCCAUUUACUUUUGUCUACAUGUGUAGCAGCUUCACCUACACUUCCUGUUCCUGUGUCCAGUGUUUCUCUGCCGAGGAUGGAUAACUGAGGAACAAGGAUGUUGAGACAACCUUCCCUCCUUUCAGGAGUCAGAUCUCCAUGGAAACACCGCCGCCGUGCGCUUUCCCCUCAAUGAAAGUUCAACAAGUCCUUUUAUGGACUUCCUCCUCGGCGGGGAGGAGACGAGAGGUGGUGGGAGAAGGUCUGAGUGGGCGCCGGCCGUCCGUCACUCAGACGGUUGCCACGGGUUACCACCUGUUGUCGUUAUUAUGGUCUGUCGACAGCGAGCGACGGGGGACACGCUGCAAAAGAUGACGAGCUGAGCCUGAGAUGUUGUUUUUAUGUUGACGGACGUGGCGACAGGCGAACGGACGGAUGAUUGACAGGUGACGUCGCUCUCUCACAACUUUCAUAUUUUAGCCGAACAACCUGAAAUAAUGAAUCAGUCAGUUAGUUUGUCAACAGAAACAAGAUCAUAAGUAAAAUGGACAAAAGUUUUCAAACGGAAAAGAUUUGCCACUUUUAAAAAAAAUGUCUGAUGAGAUAAUAAAGAGAAUAUUUGA